CCGAGAUGCUUGAAGGCGAACAGCUUGUUGUCGAAGGGCACACGGGGGACUAGGUCGUUGCAGUAUACCACGCGGAAGUAUCUGCCUUCGAGCUUCUGUUUGAAGUAAGUUGCAAAGUUAAGGUCGCCGACCCGAGGCUGACCGAACGUGUACACGGCUUUGAUUUUGCUGGCGACCUCUGUCUGUCCGGUGUAAUGCAGCAUGGCGGCAUACAGCACUGCCAGGGCGCCCCCGAGACUGUGACCCGUGAUGUACAGUUUCGCAUUGGGGUUGUCGUGCAGGAUCAAUGCAACUUGCUCCGUGAUGUGGUCGUAAGCGAGGAUUUUCUCCGAGUCGGCGAUGAUUGUGUCGGCGAGGCCGGAGGUCGGCA
rnacentral:lncRNA from 1 species